GACGAACGCUGGCGGCGUGCUUAACACAUGCAAGUGGAGCGACGAACCAGGCUUCGGCCUGGGGCAGAGCCGCGAACGGGUGAGUAACACGUGGGUAACCUGCCCUGAUGAUCGGGACAACCCGGGGAAACCCGGGCUAAUACCGAAUGUGCCCGCGAGCCGCAAGGCUUGCGAGGAAAGGAAGCUUCGGCCUCCGCAUCGGGAUGGGCCCGCGGCCCAUUAGCUUGUUGGUGGGGUAACGGCCUACCAAGGCAGCAAUGGGUAGCUGGUCUGAGAGGACGAUCAGCCACACUGGGACUGAGACACGGCCCAGACUCCUACGGGAGGCAGCAGUGGGGAAUCUUGCGCAAUGCGCGAAAGCGUGACGCAGCAACGCCGCGUGGGGAAGACGGCCU
rnacentral:rRNA from 1 species